UACGGAAGGGGCAAGCGUUAUUCUGCAGUAUUGGGUGUAAAGGGUAUGUAGGCGGCCACUUAAACCCCCUGUUAAAACUUUGCGCAGAACGGAAGACGAACGGGGGCAGAUUUUUUGGCUAGAGUUAUGCAGGAGUUGGGAGAAUUUCAUAAGGAAGGAUCAAAUCUGCAGAUCUGUGAAGGAAGACCAAUGGCGAAGGCACCUUUCUAUGUCUAACUGACGCUGAGGUACGAAAGGAUGGGUAUCAAACGGG
rnacentral:rRNA from 1 species